AUCCGUGUGACGGUUACUUCGGA
rnacentral:siRNA from 1 species